UCCUACGGGGAGGCAGCAGUGGGGAAUUUUGGACAAUGGGGGAAACCCUGAUCCAGCAAUGCCGCGUGAGUGAAGAAGGCCUUCGGGUUGUAAAGCUCUUUUGUCAGGGAAGAAACACCGGCUCUAACACAGUCCGGGAAUGACGGUACCUGAAGAAUAAGCACCGGCUAACUACGUGCCAGCAGCCGCGGUAAUACGUAGGGUGCGAGCGUUAAUCGGAAUUACUGGGCGUAAAGCGUGCGCAGGCGGUUAUACAAGACAGGCGUGAAAUCCCCGGGCUUAACCUGGGAAUGGCGCCUGUGACUGUAUAGCUAGAGUGUGUCAGAGGGGGGUAGAAUUCCACGUGUAGCAGUGAAAUGCGUAGAUAUGUGGAGGAAUACCAAUGGCGAAGGCAGCCCCCUGGGAUAACACUGACGCUCAUGCACGAAAGCGUGGGGAGCAAACAGGAUUAGAUACCCUGGUAGUCCACGCCCUAAACGAUGCAUGACCUAGUUGUUCGGGAUUUACAUCCUGAGUAACGUAGCUAACGCGUGAAGUC
rnacentral:rRNA from 1 species